UGCAAGUCGUACGCAGCUUCCCCGACUCUCUGAGGAGGGGAAGGCUGAGUGGCGAACGGGUGAGUAACGCGUGAGUAACCUGCCUUGAGGAGGGGGAUAACCCCUCGAAAGGGGGGCUAAUACCCCAUAUACUCCAGGGCCGCAGGGCUUCUGGAGGAAAGCUGGCCUCUGCUCUGCAUGCUGGCGCCUCAAGAGGGGCUCGCGUCCCAUCAGCUAGUUGGUGGGGUAACGGCCUACCAAGGCGAUGACGGGUAGCCGGCCUGAGAGGGUGUCCGGCCACACUGGGACUGAGACACGGCCCAGACUCCUACGGGAGGCAGCAGUGAGGGAUCUUGGGCAAUGGGCGAAAGCCUGACCCAGCGACGCCGCGUGGGGGAAGAAGGCCUUCGGGUCGUAAACCCCUGUUCUGGGAGAAGAACAGGAGAGGGGUGAACAGCUCCUUUCCGUGACGGUAUCCCAGGAGAAAGCUCCGGCUAAUUACGUGCCAGCAGCCGCGGUAAUACGUAAGGAGCGAGCGUUGUCCGGAUUCACUGGGCGUAAAGAGCUCGUAGGCGGCUCCUUAAGUCUCACGUGAAAGCCCCCGGCUCAACCGGGGAGGGUCGUG
rnacentral:rRNA from 1 species